CUGCCGGAUUGCUGCGCUGCGCUUUGUUCAUAGGGCCUGCUGGAGAUUAUGCUGUCACACAGAGGGACAUCACCGCAGGUCGUCUCAGUUCGUGGAGAAAUGUUGCCCACUUAACGAGUAGAAGGUUUUCUUGUGUGAAAUUAAUCUGUGACUUCUUCUAUAGCGGCUGGAGCGCCAUGGAGAUUUUUGCAAUUUUUUUAUUUAUAAAAUGUAGUUUAUGGAGGACUGAGCAGCGAUGGGAUGUGUGCAGGGACAUCCAGAAAGAAAGACGUAAGGCAGAGCACUUGCACAGAUCAAAGGCCUCCCUGAGCAAAAACCGCCUGUGGCCCCUGAUGGACAGGAGAUGCAAAAGCAGCCUUGUCCUGAAUCACUCGCCUGGUCACCACGGCAACUUGGAACGAAGGCUAGGCGAAACGGGGGAGCGGAAUAACGUGGGCAAGCAGCGGUGAAUCUACCUGGCCUUCCAGGCUCACACACUCACCGCUGGCUCUUAAUCAUUCCUCCCGCACCGGCAGCGCGACUGAAGGAGGAGAUUAAAAGGAGACUCACCCGGGCCGGCUCUUCUUCCCAGCCGGCUUUGGCUCGCUCCUCCUGGCUGCCUAUCAACCCCGCGGAAGCACAGACCCUGCGUUCCAGUUCAGCGCUGCCCCGAUGACGCAACGGAGAGGGCGGGGAUAAGGGAAAAGAGAGGUUCUGCUGUUGGCGGCCGGAUGUCUCGCAAGCCUCAACCAGCCCUUUGCACUGAACGCAUAGGAGCUGGGGUGGGGAGAGGUUGGGCGCGGCAGCGGUUAUGAAAAGGGUUCUCAGACUUGGGUCCACUAUUCCCUGUAAGAUGGGCGCGCACAGAUGAAUCCAGCCACCCCCGGCUCAGCAGAAUCCAUCACCCGCGCAGUCUCGCAACUGUGCUCCAAUGGCUGCAUAAAGUGCCGACUGUCUUUUCCGCCGCCGCCGCUGUGUUAGCUCUUGCUGUGGACGGAACUGGAAAACCGGCUUUUUCGUGCAAGCCAUGAAGCCAGAGAGCCUUGGAACAGCUGACAGGGUGGCGAGGCUGUGGGCAUUUUAAGCAGCCAUUGGAGGGCAGCGAGACUGCUCACCCCUCUUGACACCGAAACAGUUCCCACACCUGCGGUACGAUCCGAAUUUGGCCCAAACUGCAGAAAAUGGUACGCGCCCACCCCUACUACUUCCUUUCUAGGUUGGAAUAAACUGAGAUUGGUCCCGAUGUCCAAGCUCACCAAUCUCAGCUUAUUUUUUUGCUAUUUGCUUCAGAAAACCUGACAUCUCUACCCGUGGGUUGAAGUUCACUUCAGAUCUUGGGUUCCUAAGAAGGGGCCAAGAUUGUGGGUUCGGAUGUCGCAUGGCUAACCUCAGUUUAUGCUAACCUGAAAAGUAAGGAGACUCUUGUGCAAGGAUGAGAUAGGGAAGCAUGCACUCCUGGAGCAGAGGGGAUUGGGCAUAGCUCAGUGUCAACUGGUCUCACAAAAGGUGGCCAGAUUUGGCUUUUAAAAAGCCAAAUUCUGGCUUAUGGCUCACAUUUGACUUACGAGUAUACCCCUUAGGUUCUGGCAACCCCUUCUGAACCCAUCUUUUUAGUGUCACAAGAUGGUAGCUCAAGUAAAGAUAUUUCCUUCUGUGCAAAGGAUGACCAAAGUUAACUGCAGAGUAGUCAAGUUUGCAGUAUUUCCACGAACCUUUUCAUGGAGGAGGCAUGGAUGUAGGACAAUUUGCCUGUCUUUAAUCGAGUGCAAUGUAGUUUGUGAAAUACUGGACCCCACAGUGACUACACCAUUUCCUGUAUUUGUCAGCCUGCAUGAUGCUGGACAGAUGUAGAGCAAACAUGUCCUGUUAUAUAAAUAUAGAAUGUGGUUCUAGAUGCCUGAAGUUGGCCUGUCCUAGGGUAACACCAUAGUGUUCUCACAUUUGCACAUGUGACAAGAGGUAAUAAGGGUGAUGUAUAUAAAGGUAAGCAAAUAACAGAAAAACCUGGGUUGGGAGAAAAAAGACAUGGCUCCUCUUGAUGUCUAAUUAGAAACAAUCUAUUGUAGGCUCCCAGGGUAGCACUGUCAUAAGGAAAAGUAAGGCUUCCAAUAGUAGAUAAUAGGAUGGCCAACAAGGUGGCAAGAUGUCCACCAUUGCUCACCUGCCUCCCACCAUCACUGGAGCAGUUCUUCAUCGAGUGGAGGCACAGCCAGUGCUCUACAGGCUGCCACUCUAAGAGAUGGUCUGCCUCUUAUGUGACGGUCACAUCUGUUGCCACCACUACCACCUGACGGCACACACCCUCCUAUUUUAUUUGUGGACCACCGGGCUUGUUAUGAAAGGAGUAGAUUACCAGAGAUGCAUCUCCAGUACUCCAUUCACCUUUCCACGCUUCCUCUUUUGCUUCCUUCCCCUUUUCUUAACUCAUCCGGUUGUGUGAGAGGCAGACAGUCGCAGCAGCUAGUGCCACCACAAAGGAGGAGGAAGAAACAGCGAAGGAGUCCAGCCUGAGCAUGUGUGUACUAGGUGAAGCAGAAAGAAAAAAGUUGAGGGCGGCGGCGGCAAGGUGAUGGUAUUUGGGGCCCUCCAACUAUGCUGAGAUUUGGACAGCCAGUGUACUGUAGGUCCCUCUUGAGCACACAUCUAUCCAUUAUACUAUAUUGUUUUUCA